CCCGCCUCCCCCCUUCGCUCCUGCCCCUUCCUCGCCUCUCCUCUCUAUCUUCUGCGGCGGCGGCGCCGACUCCGCGUGAUUCCUCCUCCCCUGCUCGACUCCUCCUCCUCCCCCCUGAUUAGGGUUUCAGACGGCGGCGGCGCCCUCCACCGUCUGGUCCUUCCCCGCGCCCUCUUCAUCCUUCAGUGCCGCCUCCAGGUCACCGUCGCCGUCGCCCCUACGAACUCCGAGCACGCACGCGUGAGGCCUCCACCACCACCCACCGCAAUACCCCCGGUCCCUCCCUCUCUCCUGUCGUCUCUAACUCCCACCACCCAUUGGUUUUUUCGCCUCCCAACCCGCAGAACGACUGCGGCUCCUCUCUCGAUAGAACUACACCCUCGAUCUAUCUCCUAGGGCGUGUACGCCGCAGCCAUCGCGGAACUCUACGCCGCCAACGUCUUGCUACUCCGCCGACCGCCGCCGCGAACUCCGAGACCGCCGCCGCCGCCAUUGUGGAACCCCAGGCCACGGCAUUCUCAGAUUCCCAUGUGCGGCCGGUGGAGCAUGUGAGGCGAGCGCUUUAAUCAAAUCCAGGUUCCUAUGUCCGUUCAUAUAUACUACGAGUAUGAUACUGAUGGAUCAUCUGAUAUAAAAAUCUUCAUUCACUAAUGCAUAUGCGUUCAUUGUUAUUGCGAGGGAUACAAUUUUUGGAGAAGGGAUGGAGAUGGUGCCAUGGUGGAGGCUGCUGCCCAUCUAUGUGCUUGUCGAGUCAGACAUGCCCCUCUACAGGAAGUACCUCUCCCGGUACUACAUCAGCAAUCCUCCCGAAUCCAUCGAUGUGCAGCAGAUCGUGACGCCAUCCGCAUGGACGAACGAGAAUGGCCGCUUGAUUCCUCUUGCCCACUUGUGUCACGAGAUGGAGACCAAGCUCAUGGCUCAGUGCGGCCAGAGGCACAAUCAACAAUUGACUGACAUUGACUCACAGUGAGAUAGAACUAAGUAACAAAAUCAAGAUGCGUGCGUACGACAUCAUAGCUGGAAAGGCGAAUGUUUCGGUGUGUAUGCCGCUGCCACUGAUCUUAUGAAACGAUGCAUGGUUAAUCUGAAGUGUAUCGCCAAAGAGGCAGAGUUGAUGUGCGAGCAUAUGUGCAUGUGUACUUGUGUGUGUUAGCAGGCAGGAGCCCACCGCCGUGCCCGCCGGCGGCAU